UGCCAGCCGCCGCGGUAAUACGAGGGGUGCUAGCGUUGUCCGGAAUAACUGGGCGUAAAGGGUCCGUAGGCGUUUUAUUAAGUUGAUUGUUAAAUCCACCGGCUUAACCGGUGAUCUGCAAUCAAAACUGAUAAAAUAGAAUAUGUGAGAGGAAUGUGGAAUUCCUGGUGUAGCGGUGACAUGCGUAGAUAUCAGGAGGAACACCAAUGGCGAAGGCGCUCUGCUGGGCCGCUAUCGACGCUGAGGAGCGAAAGCUAGGGGAGCAAACAGGAUUAGAUA
rnacentral:rRNA from 1 species